rnacentral:tRNA from 1 species
UGGGGUAUAGCUUAAGGGCAAAGUGCUUGCCUAACAUACUCAAGGCCUGGGUUCAAACCCCAGUACCUCAA